rnacentral:rRNA from 1 species
AGGACGAACGCUGGCGGCGUGCUUAACACAUGCAAGUCGAGCGGUAAGGCUCCUUCGGGAGUACACGAGCGGCGAACGGGUGAGUAACACGUGAGCAAUCUGCCCUUCACACUGGGAUAACCCCGGGAAACCGGGCUAAUACCGGAUGCGACCACCGACGGCAUCGUCUGGUGGUGGAAAGUUCCGGCGGUGGAGGAUGAGCUCGCGGCCUAUCAGCUUGUUGGUGGGGUAAUGGCCUACCAAGGCUUCGACGGGUAGCCGGCCUGAGAGGGUGACCGGCCACACUGGGACUGAGACACGGCCCAGACUCCUACGGGAGGCAGCAGUGGGGAAUAUUGGACAAUGGGCGAAAGCCUGAUCCAGCAACGCCGCGUGAGGGAUGACGGCCUUCGGGUUGUAAACCUCUUUCAGCAGGGACGAAGCGCAAGUGACGGUACCUGCAGAAGAGCACCGGCCAACUACGUGCCAGCAGCCGC